ACCAUGCGAAUGUGAGCGAAUCCCAAAAAUAACGUCUCAGUUCGGAUUGUAGUCUGCAACUCGACUACAUGAAGCUGGAAUCGCUAGUAAUCGCGGAUCAGAAUGCCGCGGUGAAUACGUUCCCGGGUCUUGUACACACCGCCCGUCACACCAUGGGAGUCAGUAACGCCCGAAGCCGGUGACCCAACCUAUCUGGGAGGGAGCCGUCGAAGGCGGGACGGAUGACUGGGGUGAAGUCGUAACAAGGUACC
rnacentral:rRNA from 1 species